ensembl:misc_RNA Telomerase-vert Vertebrate telomerase RNA
UUCUUUACGGGGUGUCUCAUCUAACCCUAAAUGAGGGUCGUCGCCUGUACGUAACGUUUGCUGUUUUGGGCUUUCAGCAAACUACAGGGGAUUUUUUUCAAGUAGCGUUGGAAAGGUCUCGGAUUAUAUAAAAAAAGCCAACUUAAUCACCCCGUCAAGCUCAGUUUCCUUUCAGAAUCACCGUUAAUGUAUUGCCGUGGUCAGCCCGGCUGCCGCGAAGAGUUCGUCUCUGUUGCUCCGGUGACUUCUUGCAGGGAGUCUUCGCAAUUGAGCAGAUUAAAAAUGAGCAAGGUAACUUGCCGGACCUGCAGUGGUCCGGCUGGGAAACCUACGCUCAAACACUC